UCAACACUCGUCUGUGUUAAUCAUUUCUUUGUCAAUACUCGUCCGUAUUGAUUUUCAACACUCGUUCGUGUUAAUAAUGUAUUUGUCAAUACUCGUCCGUAUUGAUUUUCAACACUCAUCCGUGUUAAUCAUUUCUUGUUUCAAUGCUCGUCAGUAUUGAUCUUCGACACCCGUCUAUGUUGAUCAUUAUCUUUCAAUACUCGUCCGUAUUGAUCUUCGACACUCGUCCAUGUUAAUCAUUAUCUUUCAAUACUCGUCCGUAUUAAUCUUCAACACUCGUCCGUGUUAAUCAUUUUUUUAUCAAUACUCGUCCGUAUUGAUUUUCAACACUCGUCCGUGUUAAUCAUUUCUUUGUCAAUACUCGUCCGUAUUGAUUUUCAAUACUCGUCCGUGUUAAUCAUUUCUUUGUCAAUACUCGUCCGUAUUGAUUUUCAACGCUCGUCCGUGUUAAUCAUUUCUUUGUCAAUACUCGUCCGUAUUGAUUUUCAACACUCGUCCAUGUUAAUCAUUUCUUUGUCAAUACUCAUCCGUAUGGAUUUUCAACACUCGUCCAUGUUAAGCAUUUCUUUGUCAAUGCUCGCCCGUAUUGAUCUCCAACACUCGUUCGUGUUGUUAACUUGUUUCACUACUCGUACGUAUUGAUCUCCAACACUCGUCCAUGUUGUUAACUUGUUUCACUACUCGUCCAUAUUGAUCUUCUACACUCGUCCGUGUUAACCUGUUUCAAUACUCGUCUGUAUUGGUCUUCAACAUCCGUCUGUGUCAAUAAUUUCAUUUUUUUGAUACUCGUCUGUAUUGACUCCCAACACUUGUCUGUGUUAUUACCUUUCUCAUUUCGAUACUCGUCUGUAUUGACCCAACACUCGUCCAUGUUGGUACCUUUCUUUCUCAAUGUUCGUCUGUAUUGAUCUUUAACACUCGUCUGUGUUAAUCAUUAUCUUUCAAUACUCGUCCGUAUUGAUCUUCAACGCUUGUCCGUGUUAAUCAUUAUAUUUUAAUACUCGUCCAUAUUGAUCUUUAACACUUGUCCGUGUUAAUCAUUAUCUUUCAAUACUCGUUCGUAUUGAUCUCCGACAUUCAUCCGUGUUGUCACCAUAUUCCAAUACUCGUCCGUGUCGGUCUUCGACACUCGUCCGUGUUAAUCAUUUCUUUUUCAAUGCUUAUUGACCCCUGACACUUGUCCGUGUUAAUCAUUACUUCUUCCAAUACUUGUCCGUAUUGAUUUUUAAUGCUCGUCUGUAUUGAUUUUUGAUACUCGUUCGUAUGGAAUUGAUUCACUCGUCCGUAUUGGUCCUCUUUUCAGUACCCAUUGUAUUGAUCGCAACGCUCGUCCGUGUUGUUAAAUCCCUUUCGAUAUCUACUUGUAUUGGUAUCCAUCACUCGUCUGUGUGGACCUCACCCUCCUUCUUAAACUUAUGUUCGGGAGACCUUUUCUAGUACAUAGGAUACGUUGCUACCUGUUGUGCGAGAAGAUCAUAUAUCCCUAGCAAGACACCUCAUUUGCCUUCGCAGAAUCUUGCGGGAACACCUCGAUCACCUAUUACAUGGCAAAACUUGAUGGCUGAGGCAAGAAAAGAGAAAAGGAGAAAAGAAUGAAAAAUAUGAAAAAGAAAAAAAAAGCUAAGAGAAGGACAAAAAAGAGAUCAACAUACAUAACAUAUUACGUAUAGCAUGCAUGACUUCAUAAAGCAUCUCAUUGAAUAACUUCCUACAAUACCUUACAUCACACUCAUUUCACUCAUUCCCUGCGGGAAAAUUUCGUGGUUAUUUUAAGUAUUUAAUCCUCUCCUACCGUGAAAGUUUGAAAGCAGUUGUUAUUCUUGCCUUCAGGUCCGAGAAGAUUAAAUAGGGGCAGCUGUCAUAUCCCAACAUUUGCCCUCCUUUUCGCUUGUUCGUCUGGCUAUAACUUGAGAUUCGUCUAACCUCAUUCAUAUUCAUUCAUGUGCAUUCAUUCAUUCAUGAUUAACACCGACUGACAGGUAUCAGGGGUUCGGGGAUUGUAGUUGAUAAAGUCGGAGUUGGAUUGAAGGUUGUGGCAUUACACAUCAUAUCGAUUGAAACCUUGAUUCACGACUUUGAUAGUCGAAGGUCUUGUGUACGAACAAUUGCGUGGUCGAUGUUCGCCUGAAUUGAUUCAUGGCAUUGACAUAAUUCGUUUGGUUCAGGAUGUUGUGGUCCAUAUUCAUUUGGCCAGGAGAAAAUAUGCAUUUUUGAUCAACUGUUGACUUUUUGGUCAACCAGUUGACCAAAGUUAACCAUCAAUCUCCGAAACUUUAAUCAUGUGAUCCGUAAUCGUCCCGUCAUUUUCAGAUUAAUUCUAAAAGUUAUGGAUGAAUUCUAAAGAUUCAAAUUUGAUUUAAUUCAACAUUUGAUUUCUUGAGAUUUAAAUCGACUUUUGAGAAUUAUUUCGAUUUCGUAAUCAUUCAUCGUUUUCUUUAACCGAUUAAUCUUAGAAGUGACGUUGUUUUUAAGCACAAAUUAAUCGUGACAUUUUAUUUUAGUUAUUAGAAUUUCAUUUUUUGAUUUCACUAACAUCCAAUUAAUGAUUCAUCCAUAUCCAAUUCAAAAUCCAUUUAAUAAACCAUAAUACUUUUUUUAUCCAUUUACCAUUUUUGAUAUCCAAUUUCAUUUUUAACAAUAAUCCAAAGUUCAUUUUAAACCAAAAUCCAUUUUUUAACCAUAAUCCAUUUAUCCAACACAUCCAUUUAUAACUCAAGCUCAAUAUUUACAAACAAAAAAGUAAAAAAUAAAGUGCAGGAAGGGAAAUGCAUAAUACUGCUGCCAACAAGCUACAGAAAAGAGCUUCCGAAUGAACCAAUCUACAACUCAAACAAAAGAUGUAGUACAAGCUACCAAAGUGAAGCCCGAAGCCUGUUGCAACUUAAACAACACAGCAUACGAAACGCACAGCAGUGAACGACGCACAAGACAAACAAAAGAUGCAGGCUAAAUGCAAAAAGAUGCAAGCCAAACGCUGCAAAAAUAACUUGAAACGCAGCAGGCCAAAAGUGAAAGCUGUAGAAACUCAACUCGAAAACGGUAAGUGACGCAUCCGAAAUGCCGGUUGAAGUUGCAAGCCAAGCCAAACUGCAACAAGUAACACAGAGACAAACCAAUAACAGAACGGCAAAAUGAAGCUACGCAGCACAAACGCAGGCGCCUGAAAUGAUGAGCCAGGUCGAGCACUAUACAGCAGCUCAAGGCGAAACGCAAGAACGCAGAUUGAAAAAAAACUGCAAACAAAGCGCCAAACGAGCCAUAAGCUGCAAUGAAAAAUCCAAACAGAAAUGGGAAGCCACAACUAGUACAAAACGACAGGGAAAAAAAAGAGAAGCUGCAUAAGCUGCAGUACAACCAAAGCCUAAGCAACUGCAACAACGCACUGUGAGACCAAAGCUACAAGCUAGCACGCACAGCUGAUGCAAGCCACACUGAAAACGGCAACGAAGUUAAUAUCCAAUCCAAACUGCAGCUCACGCACAAGCUAACGCUUCUAAAUAAGAGCAACUUCCAACAACUCACAAACCAUAAGCUAUGGAACAACACACAAUACAAAAGCUAUACAAAUGAAAGUAUGAUCACAAGGGAGGCUAGACCAAUUGCCAAAAGUCCAGGAGACAAGGUUAUCAAUGGAACAAUCAAUGAGAAUGGUUGCUUGUUGGUUAAAGCUCCACAUGUUGGAUCAGGCACUUUCCUUUCUCAAAUUGUUCAACUCGUAACAGCUGCAAAACAAUCGGCUACAAACCAACAAAAACGCACACGUAGCAACUAACACUCCAACCUGCAGAAUGCAAACGCAUAACCGAGUUGCAAGAUGGCCUUGCCAUAAACCUGUGCCAACGGGAGGAACUUCCGCUGCAUCCAGAUAUACACCAUAUAUUCCUAAUAGCAACCAUUCAAUUUCUCUUCCGAUUUUGGAGCAUCAAGAGUUUCUGCUCACUGUGACCCUUAUGCAUCAACCUUUAAACAACUGCAAAAUUCAAGGUCACAGCAUAACCGCAACAACAUUGAUGGAUGACUUAUAGGACGAAGACAUUGAUUCAACAACCAUUCCUUCCAAGUUGGUAUUCGGUUCUACUGCAUUCAAACAACCUAACAGCCAAGACCGUAAGCAAGGUCAGAAGGAAAGAAGUGGAGUAAAGGGUGCAGCGCUAUAUGCAUUGAGUUGGAGGAAAGAAUUAUGAACCGUUUGCUGCAAGACAGGCGAGAUGGACGAGUCAGAAUCAUAUUACGGUUGCCGAAUGAAUGCAUAGAACAAGUUGCGGUCAUGGAGCUAAACCCCACGCAAAUGAAUGCAACGGCACCGAAACCGAACCUGCAUCCGUCAGGCCUGCAGCAAUAUCUUAUGGAUAACCGAAAAUCACCCUGCAAAAGCAAGAUUGGGGUUAACCAGCUGAAGAACUGAACCGAAAUUCAUCAGACACCAUAUGAACUGCAGACCAGUACCUGACCGCAUAACCAUCAUCAUGAUCCCCUUCGAUACAGUAGCCAUUGAAUAUCAAGCAAGUCUCAAAAGGCCUAAUGCAAGUCAGUAAGCCAUUUGCAGGAAAUGUUCAAUAAACCACAAAGGACCGUGCAUGUUAAUUCAUUCAGUGGCACACAAAAUUGGACACAAAUCAGAUUGAAUGCAACAGCUUACUAAUUGAACCAUUCAAAAAGAAAGCAAACCUAAGAUGAGUGUCCUACAAGCUGAACUAAUGGUCAUGGAGUUGGGUCCAAGAUGAGCCAUCCAUUGCAUCAGCAUGUGUCUUGCAGAGUCUAAGUAAUGCAACAGUUAUUCAAGACAAGCAUUCAGUUCAUGAUCAAAAGGCAAACAGUUCAGAUAAGGAAUCAAAGCCAAUCCCAAUGCAAUUCGGUGCAGAUAUCCACAGUUGGAUAGAAAAUCAGACAAAGGAAUUAAAGAAUAAAGAGCACGUGUUUUAUUCACCCCAGUCCCGCGUGACUCAUUUUUCCUACCAUCUCAUUUGUUAUCAGAUUUUUGUAAAUGCAUUUUAAUCACAACUGCCAGCUAGACAAGUAAAAACGUGACAACUCAGAUGCCAUUCCCCAAACUACCCUCUUGGAUCACACUAUAAAUAGGGCAAUCAUUGCCAAUCAUUGGAUGCGAAUUAUUCUGAUCAAAACGAGUUUUGCACUCUUUCCCUAACUCUCAGUACACGCUCACUCCAUUAUUGUGAGAGCUUCAUCAUUCGAAACUCUACACGGCAGAGCUGGACCGCCAAUUAACACUCCACUCUCACCAUUGCUUUCACGUGUGGACUCGCAAGAAGAAGACAGUUUCGGAAGUAAGAAGAAGAAGAAGAGAAGCGCGAAGAAGGAGAAGAAGUGCACCUGUGCUCGGUGUCGUCGCUGUCGCGUCUCCGUCGUCGUCUCCGGCAGAACCUUUCACCAUUGCUACAUUAAAGGCAAAUAAAAAACAGUGAGAAAUGAAAUUGCUAUCCAGUACAAGUACUCCCAAUGAUAAUGGUAUCAAACAAAUAAACAUCGAAUUUAUUACAAGUACAAGGCAGAGUUUUUCUAAGACAAACAUUACUUACAUGCAUGACUUCUUAAGUACUUCCUGAACCAAGCACAGAGGCAAGUAGGAAACUGUAAUAUAACUGCUACUGAUAUCAAUGGGAUGUUAUUAACUUUGUUUUUGUUGGA